rnacentral:rRNA from 1 species
AACGAACGCUGGCGGCGUGUUUAAGACAUGCAAGUCGCACGGGAUAAGACAUGUAGUAAUACUUGUUUUAUUUAGUGGCGCACGGGUGAGUAACACGUGAAUUACAUGCCCUAUAGUGGGGAAUAGCCCAGGGAAACUUGGAUUAAUACCCCAUGGUAUCGAAAGAUUAAAUGUGGCCGCAAGGCUGUCGCUAUAGGAUUGGUUCGCGCCCUAUCAGCUUGUUGGUGAGGUAACGGCUCACCAAGGCAAUGACGGGUACCUGGUCUGAGAGGACGAUCAGGCACACUGGAACUGAGACACGGUCCAGACACCUACGGGUGGCAGCAGUCGAGAAUAAUUCACAAUGGGGGCAACCCUGAUGUGCAACGCCGCGUGGAGGAUGACGGUCUUCGGAUUGUAAACUCCUGUCAUCUGGGAGAAAGACCUGACGGUAAAUAGCCGGCAGGGUUGAUAGUACCAGAAGAGGAAGGGACGGCUAACUUCGUGCCAGCCGCCGCGGUAA